GAUGAACGCUGGCGGCGUGCCUAAUACAUGCAAGUCGAGCGAACAGACGAGGAGCUUGCUCCUUUGACGUUAGCGGCGGACGGGUGAGUAACACGUGGGUAACCUACCUAUAAGACUGAGAUAACUUCGGGAAACCGGAGCUAAUACCGGAUAAUAUUUCGAACCGCAUGGUUCGAUAGUGAAAGAUGGCUUUGCUAUCACUUAUAGAUGGACCUGCGCCGUAUUAGCUAGUUGGUAAGGUAACGGCUUACCAAGGCAACGAUACGUAGCCGACCUGAGAGGGUGAUCGGCCACACUGGAACUGAGACACGGUCCAGACUCCUACGGGAGGCAGCAGUAGGGAAUCUUCCGCAAUGGGCGAAAGCCUGACGGAGCAACGCCGCGUGAGUGAUGAAGGUCUUCGGAUCGUAAAACUCUGUUAUUAGGGAAGAACAAACGUGUAAGUAACUGUGCACGUCUUGACGGUACCUAAUCAGAAAGCCACGGCUAACUACGUG
rnacentral:rRNA from 1 species